rnacentral:tRNA from 1 species
GCUGGUGUAGCUCCAAAGGUAGAGCAGUUGGCUGUUAACCAAUUGGUUGAAGGUUCAAAUCCUUCCAUUAGCG